AACGAACGCUGGCGGCAUGCCUAACACAUGCAAGUCGAACGAGACCUUCGGGUCUAGUUGCGCACGGGUGCGUAACGCGUGGGAACCUUCCCUUAGGUGCGGAAUAACUUCCCGAAAGGGGUGCCAAUACCGGAUAAUGUCUUCGGCCCAAAGAUUUAUCGCCUUUGGAUGGGCCCGCGUUGGAUUAGCUAGUUGGUAGGGUAAAAGACUACCAAGGCUACGAUCCAUAGCUGGUCUGAGAGGAUGAUCAGCCACACUGGGACUGGGACACGGCCCAGACUCCCACGGGAGGAAGCAGUGGGGACUAUUGGACGAUGGGCGAAAGCCUGAGCCAGCAAUGCCGUGUGAGUGAUGAAGGCCUUAGGGUUGUAAAGCUCUUUUGCCCGGGAUGAUAAUGACAGUACCGGGAGAAUAAGCGCCGGCUAACUCCGUG
rnacentral:rRNA from 1 species